rnacentral:rRNA from 1 species
AUGGCUCAGGACGAACGCUGGCGGCGUGCCUAAUACAUGCAAGUCGAACGAACUCUGGUAUUGAUUGGUGCUUGCAUCAUGAUUUACAUUUGAGUGAGUGGCGAACUGGUGAGUAACACGUGGGAAACCUGCCCAGAAGCGGGGGAUAACACCUGGAAACAGAUGCUAAUACCGCAUAACAACUUGGACCGCAUGGUCCGAGUUUGAAAGAUGGCUUUGGCUAUCACUUUUGGAUGGUCCCGCGGCGUAUUAGCUAGAUGGUGGGGUAACGGCUCACCAUGGCAAUGAUACGUAGCCGACCUGAGAGGGUAAUCGGCCACAUUGGGACUGAGACACGGCCCAAACUCCUACGGGAGGCAGCAGUAGGGAAUCUUCCACAAUGGACGAAAGUCUGAUGGAGCAACGCCGCGUGAGUGAAGAAGGGUUUCGGCUCGUAAAACUCUGUUGUUAAAGAAGAACAUAUCUGAGAGUAACUGUUCAGGUAUUGACGGUAUUUAACCAGAAAGCCACGGCUAACUACGUGCCAGCAGCCGCGGUAAUACGUAGGUGGCAAGCGUUGUCCGGAUUUAUUGGGCGUAAAGCGAGCGCAGGCGGUUUUUUAAGUCUGAUGUGAAAGCCUUCGGCUCAACCGAAGAAGUGCAUCGGAAACUGGGAAACUUGAGUGCAGUAGAGGACAGUGGAACUCCAUGUGUAUCGGUGAAAUGCGUAGAUAUAUGGAAGAACACCAGUGGCGAAGGCGGCUGUCUGGUCUGUAACUGACGCUGAGGCUCGAAAGUAUGGGUAGCAAACAGGAUUAGAUAUCCCUGGUAGUCCAUACCGUAAACGAUGAAUGCUAAGUGUUGGAGGGUUUCCGCCCUUCAGUGCUGCAGCUAACGCAUUAAGCAUUC